UGCUGCAUGGCUGUCGUCAGCUCGUGUCGUGAGAUGUUGGUUAAGUCCGCAACGAGCGCAACCCUUGCCAUUAGUUGCUACGAAAGGGCACUCUAAUGGGACUGCCGGUGACAAACCGGAGGAAGGUGGGGAUGACGUCAAGUCCUCAUGGCCCUUAUAGGUGGGGCUACACACGUCAUACAAUGGCCGGUACAGAGGGUAGCCAACCCGCGAGGGGGAGCCAAUCCCACAAAGCCGGUCGUAGUCCGGAUCGCAGUCUGCAACUCGACUGCGUGAAGUCGGAAUCGCUAGUAAUCGCGGAUCAGCAUGUCGCGGUGAAUACGUUCCCGGGUCUU
rnacentral:rRNA from 1 species